UACGUAGGGGGCUAGCGUUGUCCGGAAUCAUUGGGCGUAAAGAGCGCGUAGGCGGCCAGAUAAGUCCGGUGUGAAAGUCACAGGCUCAACCUGUGAAUGCCGCUGGAAACUGUCUGGCUAGAGUCCAGAAGGGGCGAGUGGAAUUCCUGGUGUAGCGGUGAAAUGCGCAGAUAUCAGGAGGAACACCAAUGGCGAAGGCAGCUCGCUGGGACGGUACUGACGCUGAGGCGCGAAAGCGUGGGGAGCGAACAGG
rnacentral:rRNA from 1 species